CAUGUGCAAAAUCUGGUGCUGAGACACACCGAGAUAAUAUAUCCGGCAUUUGAACAAAAAAAAAACAAUGCCCAAAGCACAGAGUGAUUUGAAAGGAAGCUUGGGAGGGAGAGAAAGAGUUUGAAAUGUUGGCGUUGCACACAGGUAAAGUGCAGAAACAAACAGGGACAUUCCACAUAUUAAAUCCAACUACUUGCAAACCCGAACUAAAAAUAAAUCAAGAACGACUCAGAAUAACUUAUCCCGCAUCUGCCGUGAAACAUCAGACGGCUAGAGGUCCGGUUUAUGGCACCGAUUGGCAAGUCACUAAUGCACAACGUCUGGAUGAUUGCGGGGUGAGGACAAAAGGGUGGAGGGGUCCGAGGUGAGACGGUGGUCCCGGGGUGGUCAGCUGCGGCCUGGCCGGCCCCCGGCCCCGGGCCUAGUGCCGGGCGGAUGGAACAAAGCCAAGCCUGCUGCAAGGCCGGUCUCCGAGCGCCGGGUUGGGCUGCCCGCUCGUCCCCACCCGAACUACGGCGGCCCCGGGUUACAGAGCGCUCCACGUUGUCUCACCGGUUCCUGGUAGCAGAGGGAUUGUCGAUGUUGUCAGCAGAGAUAAUGGAGAGAUUGGUGCUUUAAUAAUCUUCGCUGCAGAAAAAGUUUGAAGAUUGUGGUAUAAGAUUAAAGAGUAAAGAUUCCUAGAAAGAGACCGGAAGCCUGGGAUCUUUGAACUCUGUUUCACGUGUGGUUCCAACCUAAUCUCUGCCUAAAGGAUGAUCACAAAAGGACUUUGAUAACCGAAGGGAAAGUUUGUCCUCCACUCGGUUCUCCAUGUUGUCGAGGCUACGUGUCUUUCAUCUCGCAUCGCGUCUGGAUUCCAGCACUUGAGUCCAACCAUCGUCGCCUAGGUCUCUUGUCACAGAAACACCAUAAAAUUAAUCAAGAUCAAUUCAUCACAACAGUGUAUUGAGGGGCAGCACAAAGGGAAACAACAACAGAAUGAAGUGUCACAGCUACAGAGAGAGUGCACUGCAGGCAGCCAAUCUACAGCUUUCUCUUUGGUGUUGAGGAGACCACAGCCGGAGCACGGGCUGCUGUACACCUGUUUUGCAAUCACAAGGGCCAGUUGCUACAACAGUCCCUUUUAUGAAUGAAAUCAUGGACAUGGUAUUUCUGAGCUAUGCUCCCUUCAGCUGAAUCCCUCCUGAAUGAAUGAAUGCACAUAGCGGAUGACCUCAGUGUCCACGCAUCACCAGCUACAACCUGCAAAGUAACAAUGGCUCCGCUUCUUUUUAUAUUUCACAAGUACACUUUAUUCAUAAGUAAACUUUAUUCAAGAAGUACAGAAAAAAAAGGAAGGCCAUGCAAUUUUACAUUCACAUGCGAAUUAUUUAUCACACGUGAGUUGUUUUGGGCACCUUAUCAAUGAAAAGAUAUGCUGGUGUUGGAGAGGAUCCAGAGGAAGUUCACAAGAAUGAUUCCAGGAAUGAAAAGUUUAACACAUGAGGAGUGUUUGAUGGCUGUGGGCCUGUACUCACUGGAGUUUAGAAGAAUGAGGGGCUUCUCAUAGAAACAAUGGAAUAUUGAGAGUGGAUAUGGAGAAGAUGAUUUCUCUCAUGGGUGACCCUCAGAAUAGAGGUUCCUUUAGAACAAAGAUGAGGAGAAAUUUCUUUAGCUAGAAGUGAAUGAAUCUGUGGAAUGCAGCAAUCAUUCCAUGGUCUUCACUCAGAAAAUUAAGAAUUAAUCUCUCAGCGAGCUUUGGCUGUGUGCUUAAAUGUUGGAGGAUGUUCAAGGCUGAGUUAAUCAGGUUCUUGGCACCAAAGGGAAUUACAGGAUUUUUUAAUUCUGCCCUGUAGAUGCGGCCUGACCUGCCGAUUUCCUCCCGUAUUUUGUGAGAGAAGCUCAAGAUUUCCAGCGUCGGCAGGAUUUCCUGUUUAUAUUGCUACCUCCCUCUUUUCAACUUUAUUACCCAGUUUGGAAAGGUGGUCAAUACUGUGCCUAUAAAAACCUCACACCUCUUGAAAGAUUUCAUGUUUUAUUUUUUACAACAUUGAAUCAAAGUGGAUUUAAUUUGUUUUUUCUGACACAGAUCAACAGUAAAAGACUCUUACAUGCCAAAGUGAAAACAGAUCUCUACAAAGUGAUCUAAAUUAAUUACAAAUAUAAAACAUAAAAUAAUUGAUUGCAUAAGUAUUCACCCCCCCCCCUUUAAUAUAGCACACCAAUUCAUCACUGGUGCAGCUAAUUGGUGCCAGAAGUCACAUAAUUAGUUAAAAGGAGAUCUGUUUUUGGAGACUUGUGUGCAGUGAAGGUAUUUCAAUUGAUAGUAGUAAAAAUACACCUGUAUCUGGUCGGUUCAACUUCUGGUGAGUUAGUAUCCUGGCAAAAACUAGACCAUAAAGACAAAAGAACACUUCAAUCAACUCCAUGAGAAGGUUAUUGAAAAGCACAAGUCAGGAGAUGGAUACAAGAAAAUUUCUAAGUCACUGAAUAUCCCUUGGAGUACAGUUAAGUCGGUCAUCAAGAAAUGGAAAGAAUAUGGCACAGCUGCAAAUCUGACUAGAGCAGGCCAUCCUCAAAAAUGGACAGAUUGUGCAAGAAGGGAACUAGUGAGGGAGGCCACCAAGAGACCUAUGACAACUCUGGAGGAGUUAGAAGCUUCAGUGGCUGAGAUGGGAGAGACUGUGCAUACAACAACUGUUGCCCAGGUGUUUCACAAGUCAAGGCUUUAUGGGAAAGUGGCAAAGAGAAAGUCAUUGUUGAAAAAAACCUCACAGGAAAUCUGGGCUGGAGUUUGCCAGAAGGCAUGUGGGAGACUCUGAAGUCAGCUGGAAAAAAAUUCUAUGAUCUGAUGAAACCAAAGUUGAGCUUUUUUUGCCAUCAGACUUAACACUAUGUUUGGUGUAAGGUAAGGCAAACACCACAUAACAUCAAAAACACACCAUCCCUACUGUGAAGCAUGGUGAUGGCUGCAUCACGCUGUGGGGAUGCUUCACUGCAACAGGCCCUGAAAGGCUUCUGAAGGUAGAGGGUAAAAUGAAUGCAGGAAAAUACAGGGAAAUCAUGGAGAAAGCCUGAAGCAGUCUGCCAGAGAACUGCAACUUGUGAGAAGAUUUGUUUUCCAGCAAGACAAUGAUCCCAAGCAUAAAGCCAAAGCUACACAGGAAUGACUUAAACACAACAAAGUUAAUGUUCUGGUCCAAGUCAGAGUCCAGACCUCAAUCCAAUUAAGAAUUUGUGGCUGGAAUUAAAAAGGGCUGUUCACUCAUGAUCCCCAUGCAAUCUGACAGAGCUUGAGCAGUUUUGUACAGAAGAACGGGGGAAAAUUGUAGUGUCCAGAUGUGCAAAGCUGAUAGAGACCUUUCCAUGUAGACUCGAGGCUGUAAUUGCUGCCAAAGGUGCAUCUACUAAAUACUGACUUCAAGUGGGUAAGUAAUUAUGCAAUCAAUUAAUUUGUGCUUAAUUGUAAUACAUUUAGACAAAUUUGGAGAAAUUUGUCUUCAUUUUGAUAUGAAAGAGUCUUUUAUGUUGACCAAUGUCAAAAAAGGCAAAUUAAAUCCACUGUGAUUCAAUGUUGAAACAUAAUAAAACAUGAGAACUUCUGGGGGUGGGGGGGGGGAUACUUUUUAUAGGCACUAUACGUAUUAUAGUGUAGUUGCAUUUGUUUUGCUGAGAUCAGUUUUGUGAAUGAAAGACUCAACAAUUCAAAAGCAUGAGAGGGAAACCUUAUGAACCAAGUGUUCAUAAACUGUUAACUCUCUCAGUAACUCCAGCCCCCCGUGGUAAUGAGUUAAACAACAUGACUCCUGCCGAAGAGUCCUGGACUGAAAUAUGACUGUUUGUUCACUUCCAUAGAUGCUGCCUGACCUGAUAAGAUCCCCCAGCAUUUUGUGUGUAUUAUUCUGAAUUUCCAGCUUCUGCAGAAUCUCUUGUGUUUAUGACUACUUCUAAACCACUUUCACAAAGAAAGCAGUUCCCGAAAAGUAAGUGGCCAAAAACACCCGUGAUUUAUUAGACAACUAAUGCUUAUAUCUAGUCCUGGGUAUGACUCUAAACUGCAACCGGUGAUGAGGCUCUGACUGGGGACUCUCAGAGCUUUGGGAAGUGGAGUUACCCCUUAGUCAUUCAUUGCUCCCAGGGCUGCUCUGACCCGGAACAGUAGCACCUGCAAGGGUUCCUGCUCAGGAUACGAGCAAAGGUCAACGGCAGAUCCGGCAGUUCAGUAACUGAGCUUAUGACGGAGAAGACGGAUGAGCUAGGACCUCAAAUGUCAAUGGCUAUAGUACAGGUGGAUGAAUAUUUGGGAAGAGAAAUGGUGAUUUCUUUAGUUCGCCCAACGGUAGGCAACAGCAAACCAUUGUUGCUAGAUACAAGGUUUCCUAGAAUCUAUUUGCUAAGAAAACCAUGGUCAAACUCACAAAAUGUAUCGUACAACAUCAGCGUCAAGAGGAUCUUGAAGACAAUUCUGAAGAUGCUUCACUUGAUAGGGUUGAUUCUGGUCAGCAGGGGAUCCUGACCGUCAUCACGUUGGGUCCAAAUGCUGUUGGACCGUCGGGGUCACCAAUGUAGUCGCGCUGAUACAUGACGAGUGAAAACAACACACCAACUCGAGCAGGGUCAGGUUGAACUGUUUACUGUUUCAAUUCGCGCGCGCUUAAGUAACCUGCUCCCAGCAUACCCCACUCUUUGCAGGGUGGAAGUGACGUCAGCUUCCGGGCCGAGGUCUGCCCCGCACUCAGAGCCCUCUCAGCUGCCGCUGGCUGCGGACUCACCCGCGACUGUUGGAGCUGGUUUGCUUGCCGCGUGGACGAGCCGCCACAACUGAUUUAAUCAAUGACGUUUAUGAAACUGGAAUAAUCCCAGAAGAGAUGAAAAAAUCAGUAUUUAUCACUCUUCCUAAGAAACCUGGAGCAAUAGAAUGUGAAUUACAUAGGACCAUAAGUUUAAUGAGUCAUAUCACCAAGAUAAUUAUAAGAAUUUUGAUGACAAGAGCGAAAAGAUACAAGCUGAAAUAGGUAAAGAACAAUGUUGUUUUGUGAAAGAUAAAGGUACAGGAAACGCAAUAUUGAUGUUAAGGAUACUAUCAG